UUCCGGUUGAUCCUGCCGGACCCUACUGCUAUCGGGGUGGGACUAAGACAUGCGAGUCGAGCGUCUCCAGCUAUGGUGAGACGCGGCAGACGGCUCAGUAACACGUGGCUAACCUACCCUCAGGACAGGGACAAACCCGGGAAACUGGGGCUAAUACCCGAUAGGCGAGGGCGCCUGGAAUGGUUCUUCACCCAAAGGGCUUUGGAAGCAUGCUUUUCAAAGUCGCCUGGGGAUGGGGCCGCGUCCGAUCAGGUUGUUGGUGAGGUAACGGCUCACCAAGCCUAUAACCGGUACGGGCCGUGAGAGCGGUAGCCCGGAGAUGGGCACCUGAGACAAGGGCCCAGGCCCUACGGGGCGCAGCAGUCGCGAAAACUCCGCAAUGCACGAAAGUGUGACGGGGCUACCCCGAGUGCCCGUCCGCUGAGGAUGGCUUUUCCUCGGUGUAACUAGCCGGGGGAAUAAGGAGAGGGCAAAGACUGGUGUUAUCCCGCCGCGGUAAUACCAGCUUCUCCCGAGUGGUAGGGGAUGAUUAUUGGGCUUAAAGCGUCCGUAGCCGGCUUAGCAAGUCUCCUGUUAAAUUCAGCGACCUAAUCGUUGAGCCGCGGGAGAUACUACUAGGCUAGGAGGCGGGAGAGGCCGACGGUACUUCCGGGGUAGGGGUGAAAUCCUAUAAUCCCGGGCGGACCACCAGUGGCGAAGGCUGUCGGCUAGAACGCGCUCGACGGUGAGGGACGAAAGCUGGGGGAGCGAACCGGAUUAGAUACCCGGGUAGUCCCAGCCGUAAACGAUGCGGGCUAGGUGUUGGGGUGGCUACGUGCCACUUCAGUGCCGCAGGGAAGCCAUUAAGCCCGCCGCCUGGGGAGUACGGCCGCAAGGCUGAAACUUAAAGGAAUUGGCGGGGGAGCACCACAAGGCGUGAAGCUUGCGGUUCAAUUGGAUUCAACGCCGGGA
rnacentral:rRNA from 1 species